rnacentral:rRNA from 1 species
UUCGGGGUUAGUAAGUUGGUCAUGCCAUUGGUAUGCACUGGCUUUACUGAUUCCUCCUUCUUGACGAACCGUGAUGUCAUUAAUUUGGUGUUGCGGGAAAUCAGGACUGUUACUUUGAAAAAAUUAGAGUGUUUAAAGCAGGCUUUAGCUUGAAUACAUUAGCAUGGAAUAAUGAAAUAGGACGUUUGAUCCUAUUUUGUUGGUUUCUAGGAUUGACGUAAUGAUUAAUAGGGAUAGUUGGGGGCAUUAGUAUUCAAUUGUCAGAGGUGAAAUUCUUGGAUUUAUUGAAGACUAACUACUGCGAAAGCAUUUGCCAAGGAUGUUUUCAUUAAUCAAGAACGAAAGUUAGGGGAUCGAAGACGAUCAGAUACCGUCGUAGUCUUAACCAUAAACUAUGCC